CGGUUUGGUAAAUCUCUUGUGAAAUUGUUCGGCUUAACCGGACAGCGUGCAGGAGGCACUGCCAGACUUGAGACCGGGAGGCGUUAGAAGUAUUCCAUGGGGACUGGUAAAAUGGGAUAAUCCAUGGAAGACUACCGAUGGCGAAGGCAUCUAACGAGAACGGAUCUGACGGUGAGGAACGAAAGCUAGGGGAGCGAACCGGAUUAGAUACCCGAGUAGUCCUGGCCGUAAACGCUGUGAGCUAGGUGUCGCGUAUCUCAUGAAGAUGCGCGGUGUCGAAACGAAGGUGCUAAGCUCACCGCCUGGGGAGUACGGUCGCAAGACUGAAACUUUAAGGAAUUGGCGGGGGCGCACUACAAGGGGUGCGGCGUGCGGUUUAAUCCAACUCAACGCGGAGAACCUUACUAGGGGCGACGGCAGGAUGAAGGUCGUGCUGAAGACACUACCAGACGAGCCGAGAGGUGGUGCAUGGCCGCCGUCAGCUCGUGCCGUAAGUGUCCAGUUAAGUCUGGUAACGAGCAAGACCUGCAUUCACAAUUGCUAACGACCUCUGGGAUCGAGCACAUUGUGGAGACUGCCCGUGUAAACGGGAGGAAGGUGCAGGCAACGGUAGGUCCGUAUGCUCCGAAUCCCCUAGGCUACAC
rnacentral:rRNA from 1 species